CGGGAGUUCUGGCCUGGCUCUUGGGCCAGUCACCUCGCCUCUCGGAGCCUCAGUUUCCCCUCCUGUGAAGUGGCUUAACGACAGUAUACAGCCCAGCUCAGAGGCACCUUCUCACGGGAAGCCCUUCACCGCUCUCUGCCUAGAGACCUGCCGUGGCACCGAGCCCACCAUCUGUUCUAAAGUGAUUCCUGCACCCCCAAUCCUGUGUCUAACGAACCUGACAUUCAGAGGCAAUGUCUUCGGGAAAGGUCACCAGAGGGAGGUGGCGUUCUCGCUGACAGCACCUGUCCUUCCGGCACGGGCAGACUCUCCUUCAAGACAAGUGCCCGUGCUCCUGUCCCUCGGAGCUGCCCCUCCCCACCAGCUGCCUCUGCUCCUUCAACCCUUCAUCUGGAAAGACACGGCUCAGGACCCGCCUCAUUUGUCUGUUCGUGGUCCCUACUGGCCAUUGAGACACAGGGACGACUCCGAUCCCAGCCCUACCUGGCAGGGCACCCGGGAGGGCAGAUCCUGAGAUCACGGCUCAGGGGCGGGAAAGAGACGAAGGGGGGCAAGGGAGGCAGACCCUCGUGGUGAGACGUCACAUGCCCUGCGCUCAGGAGUUUGACCUUCGUCCUGAGGACAAUGGUGAGUGACUGAAGAGUUUAGGCAGGGAGGGGCCCCUGGGUGGCUCAGUCGGUUAAGCUUCUGACUCUGGCUUUCGGCUCAGGUCAUGAGCUCACAGU